UAAACCCCAAAUAUCAUAACCGAGAUUCAAAACCAAAUUUGAGAUUUUACACAUUCAAUUUGCUUAUAUAUUUUGCUCCUUUCUUGUUUUAACUGAGUUGCUCAUCCAUUUCCUUUUCUUUUCCUAAUUAUCAUUCAGUUCAUUAUUAUCAAUUUAUCAUGGCAGAUCAGGCGUUGCUCGUUAGUGGUGUAACCGAGUUAUUGAAACAUUUGACUUCUGUUGUUUCCCAACAAAUUAGUGAGGCUUGGGGUGCACACAAUGAUCUGGAAAAACUCAAAGGUACUUUGGAGAUGAUAGCGGCUGUUACAACUGAUGCUGAGGAGCAGCAAGAGAAAUCUAAGCUUGUGAAACUUUGGUUGGACAGGCUCAAUGAUGUUGUGUAUGAUGCUGAUGAUGUUCUGGACGAGUUUUCUUAUGAAGCCAUGCGUCGAAUGGAACUGUGUCGCAAGAGAGAUAAGGUACGACAAUUAUUUUCUUCAUGCACCUCAGUUGCCUCUAAUUGCAAGAUGAGUUGGAAAAUGGGUCGGAAAAUAAAAAAAUAUUAACAUGAGGCUAGAUGAUAUUUCCACUGCGGUAGUGACUAAGACUCUACUCCCAUAAUCUGCGGUUGGUCUACAGAGACGCCUCGGUAAAGAGCUCCUUUGAUAAAAGGGCUUGGGUCUGUGUGUCUGAUGGUUUCAACAUCCAAAAAAUAUUUAAAAGCAUAAUUGAGUCAUUUACCAGUAGGAAGUGUGCUAAUUUCUCAAAUGUGGAAGUCUUGGUUGAUAAAGUUCGAGAAGAGUUGAGUAAUAAAAAAUAUUUACUAAUUCUCGAUGAUCUGUGGAGUGAAAAUACGGAAGACUGGGAUACACUUCAAGAUUUACUAAGUGUGGGUGCUCAUGGGAGUAGAGUCUUAGUCACUACACGUAGUAAAAAUGUUGCAUCUGUUGUCGGAGGUGCUGUCUCACCAUACAUGUUAGAAAACUUACCUCAUAGUGUUUGUUGGUCUAUCAUCAAGACCAGAGCAUUUUCCCCAGGUGGAGCAUCAGAGACUGAGAGCAUGACAUGUAUAGGAGAGAAAAUUGCAGAAAGAUGUGGUGGUUCACCACUAGCUGCAAAAGUUCUCGGUAAUGUUUUGCGUCUGCAUCAAAGAUUGAUUGAUUGGCAGUCAAUCCUAGAUCAUGAUAGUUUAGAUGCGAAAAACAAAGGGAUCAUACCCAUAUUGAAACUAAGUUAUGAUAAAUUACCAUCACAUUUGAAACUUUGUUUUUCCUAUUGCUCUUUGUUCCCAAAAGAUUGGGUCAUUAAUAGGAAAAUUUUAGUUCGGUUGUGGAUGGCAGAAGGGUUCCUUCGUCUAUCUGAUGGUGGAAAUCAUAUGUCACUAGAAGAUGUCGGUGAUGAUUAUUUUCAUAGUUUACUGGCCAAUUCUUUCUUUCAAGAUGUGACAUUCGAUCAUUUAGGCGACGUCCAAACAUUCAAGAUGCAUGAUUUGGUGCAUGAUCUUGCCCAGAGUGUCAGCGGUGUUCAUGAUAUCAAGAUUAUCAAUUCGGGUGAAAUGGAUUCAAUUUCUAAACAUCGGCGCUUGUUGUUAAAUUUAGAAGAGGAAACAUCAGAAACAUUUUCAAAAGUCUUGAAAAAGUCAAAACGUCGGAGGUCCAUUUAUUCCCUUAGAAAAUGUGAUUUAGGAGAACAUUUACUUUAUGGCAAGAAUCUGCGGGUUGUUUCUUUGCUCAGAGAUUUCUUUCUAUAUGGAGUUGUUGAUCAUUCCAGAGUAGAGCUGGCAAACGGGCGGGCCGGGCUGGUUUGUUGCGGGUUACACAUAUGCGGAUUAACACGGGCCAAAACUCGCGGCUCGAUAUUCUUCAGGAUGGUCAUUUCUUCAACCCGCGCCCGUAACGGGUAAAGCUUGCGGGUUUACAGGUUAACCCGGAUUGUUUAAUUAAUGUUGAAAUUAAAACUUAAUUAAGUUAAUUUGCGGUCUUAUUUAAGCUUUGACCAUCUUCAAAUCUCUAAUCAACACAAAAACCAAACAAAGAUGCAUUCAAUUUCAACAUAAAAAUCAAAGACAGAUCCAUUCAACACAAAUCAAAACCCAUCUUUUUUGUUCAAUUUCUGAAACUCCAUCUUCUUCUUGGAUGAUUGAAUCCCCACUUUUUAGCUGGUGUUGCUUUUGCUUGUGCUCCCCCCCUCGAUUAGCGGGUAACAAUCCACCAUUACUCACCAACGACAUUGUCAUAUGUUUUGGAAACUGAAAUUGGGGUUUUGGUCUCUGCAAUUGAUUGAACAAGGAAUCAGAGAUGAUAGAGAAAGAACUUUUUGUCCAUCUUGCAAAUGUACUGCAAGUCUGCAAACAAGAGAUAAAAAAACAAGGCUAAUGUAAAUCUGCUUUUACAGUGACAAAGCAUGGAUUCAAAACAACUCUAGGUUAAUUAAAUCAAAGUGUACAACAAACGAGACAAAUAUGCUAUGAUAGUGGAGGAAGUAUACACUUCUCAAUUAGCAAAUCCAACACAGUUAACUUGCGGAGACAUUGUAUACUACUAGUACAUUCAUAUCCCCAUUCAACAACAUCAAUUUUAUGUAACCAAACCAAACAACUAAAAUGAAAAUCAAAUUAUACACAACCUAAAGUUUCUCAGCAUUACAAAAUCUUACCUAAAGCUUGCUUCCUCAACCUUACUAUCCAUUAAUCCUUGAGCAUUACCACUAGGUUUCCUCAAUCCAGAACCACUAAAUACUACUUGUUUUUGUAAUUGGUCCAUCCAGUAACCAAAAAAUACAAAAAAUAUAAAUUGGGUAUGGGUCUCUUUGAAAAUCAAUUAUAAUGAUAGAAAUCCAAUCUUUCCUGAAUUUACUUACCCCUUGAUACACCCUGAGAAGCCAUGCAUAAGCUUAGACCCAUUUGUGAUUUCAAUUUCAUGGUGUCCUCCAAAACUUUCCCUGUUCAAAACCCAUGAACGAAUUUAUUAUUAGAUAAAGUUAUUUAAACUUGCAGAGGAAAACAGAGAGGAAAGAAGGUGAUACCUUUGAAGAUGAGUUUUUGAACUCCAGGGAGAACAUUAGUGAGAGGUUGAAGAAGAGAUUCAAGAUAUUUAAUGGUUGAUUCUAUAGAAAGUGAUUAUGCAGGCUGUAACAACAACAAACCCUAACUCCUUCAUUUCCCUUCUCUGCCGAUUCAACAUAAAUCCAAUUAGUAAUCAAAACCCUGUAAUCCCAUAAUUCAAACCCCUAAUAGUGAACCUUACUUUCUUCUCAGAUUCACUUUAUUACCAUCUGAUUCCAUCUCUAUCUCACAGAUCCACCUUCAACUGAUUUCAAAAUCAAAUUUAAAUAACUCUCAACUUCAAAAACUCGAUCUAAUUAUCUUCAACCUUUAGGGAUCACUAGCAACACCCUGUGAAAUAAAGAUGGAGGUGGUGAGGAGGCGCAAUGAAAAGGAAGAGACAGUGGAGAAGAAAAAAAUAGGAAGAAGAAAUGAAACAUUUUCUAGGGUUUUUGGAUUUUAUAUCCUAAACGAACGAAUCUGAUUAAUUCUAGAUAAUCUGACGGUGGAAUUUAAGCAUAACUUAUUAUUGUAGACGGGUUACGGGUUGUACCCGCGGUUUUACGGGCCGGGUUAGCCCGUUUUCCCACAAGCCAGCAUUUCUACGACCCUAACCUGGCUUGUUUAGCCACCAGCCGAGACGGGUGCGGGUUUUUUACGGUCCGGGCUGGGUAAAUCCGCGGGUUUUGGCUUGUUUGCCAGCUCUAUUCCAGAGUAGUUCAUUCUUCGAUAGUUGAGCAUAAGCAUUUGAGGUACCUUGACCUGUCUUAUUGUAGUUUUGAUGAAGGACCAUAUGUGUCCAUGAAUCAACUUUACAAUUUGCAGACAUUAAUACUACAAGGAUGGAAAAAUAAUGUUGAAAUGAUUCUUCGAGGCAUUGGAUCUCUGAAGAAUUUAAGGCACCUAGAUCUCUCGGGUUCGGAUGUUGAAGAGUUUGAUGAUUCUGUCGUUCAUCUUACUAAUUUGCAGACAUUAGAUCUAACUCGGUGCAGUGAAUUAGUAGCCUUGCCUAAAUAUAUCGGGGCUUUGAAAUAUCUAAGAGAGUUGAAAUUGAGAUACUGUGGAAAUUUAAAAUUUUUGCCUAGAGAAAUCGGAAAAUUGAUACGAUUAAGGUGGCUGGAUUUGUCUCAUACUGAGAUUAAAGUAUUACCUGACUCAUGCAUCAAAAACCUUUGCAAUUUGGAGUUGCUCCAUUUUGGAGAGAACUGUGAGCUUCCCAAAGAAAUUAAAAAAAUUCCAAAAUUGAGAAUUUUGAAACAUUGGAGAGAGAACAAAGAUGAAAUGCCCAGAGGUAUAGAAACUCUAACCGGCCUUGAAGUGUUACAUUCUUAUGUGGUGAGGAAGAUAUUAACCACCUCUUGCAGUAGUGGUGGUAGUGGGAUCGAAGAAUUAGCCAACCUAAAUUCUCUACAUAAGUUAGAGAUUCUCAAUCUGGAAUUUGUUAGAAGCGGUAUUGAUGCGGAGAGAGCAAAGUUAAAAGAUAAGACAAACCUCCGUAAGUUGCGUCUAGAAUGGGGGUCCGAUGAUCAUGACUAUGAAAUGGCGUUUGAUGAAGUGUUCGAAGGUCUCGAGCCGAACCUUAAUUUAGAAGAGUUGACAGUAUAUAAUUUUCUGGGUUUAAAGCUGCCUAAAUGGAUUGGUUCAUCCAACUGCCUUCCGAAUUUAGUGGAAAUAAAUAUUUUGGAAUGCAAUAGAUGUGAGAAGCUACCAGCGCUGGGUAUGCUCCCACGUCUUAGUAUCUAACAAUUGAUAAAAUGAAUUCAGUGAAGUAUUUGGGUGAAGAGUUUUUCUACCAGCAGCAAGAAGAAAAAGAAGAAAAAAUAAUCAUCGGCAGCUGCAAUGGUAGUGGUAGUGUUGUAAAUGCAGUAUCAUUAUUUCCUUCAUUGAUUAGUUUGACAUUAAGAAACAUGAUAAAUAUAGAAGAAUGGGUUGCUCCUCCUGCGAUUCAUAAUUCAUUUCCUUUCAUUGAGAAUCUAGAUAUCAGCGAAUGCCAAAAACUGAGAAGCACACCAAAAUCAUUUUUCUCUCUCAAGGAGUUGCGUUUGUACAGCAUCGGCAACAGCAAGUCAUUAAGCUCAAUCUUUAGUACUACUGGAGGACUUACCUCUCUCACAUUCAUUAUAAUAGAUUGUUACCAAAACCUGUAUAUCCCACUGGGCGUACUACUCCGAAACAUCACUCCGAAUCUUCAAGAUCUACGCAUCAAUAAUUUCCCUAAGUUUCAAGGUUUUGUUGAAGAUGAUGAUCUAAACAACUACAAUAACAAGGAUGGUGAUGAUGAUGAUGAGAAGGUGACACUAUCUUUUUCAUGUCCUGAAAUCAACUCUAACUCCAAUAAUAGAAGCAAUUCUCUCCGUUCAUUAACGUUUACGGAUUGUCCUGUAUUAACGUUGCUCCCGGAUUUACGAUCGUUCACUUCUCUCCGGGAAUUAACCAUUUGGGACUGCCAUAAAUUGAAGGAGUCAAUACCCUACGAUCUCAAGACUCUUACUUUUCUUGAAGAUUUGGGAUUUGAUUUUACUCAAAGCGAAUAUGAGUACCCAGAAGAUCCAGCUGAUAAGUCAUUAAGUAUCCUAAACAGGUUUGAAGAGGAUUCUGACGAGACGAUUUGUAGGUACAAAAAAUAGACUCACCAUGUGUCAACACGAGAAGGCCUUAAAGAGGGGAAUGUAUCUCGAUCAAAGAUCUCAGUCAGUGAUUUGUCAAAUCAAGUCACAUAAAGUCAUAAUUAAUGAACCGACGAAGAUACGUGCACGAGAUAAUAGUGCAAACCGCGAGAAAGUUGUGGGAGUAUUCAGCAAGGUAUCACACGAAAAAAGUAUACAGGCGAAGGAAGAUUGCUUGGCCCAAAAGUCAUUCGGCGAAGAUAUUACUUAUUGAGUAAAAAAUAGGACAGUUGUCCCGACAGGAUCACAUGGGUAUCAGCGAAAGAAGGGGAAAACUUUAUGGAAAACGGGUCGGGCGAAGGAUAAAGCAAGACCACGAAGCUCCCACGAAGAAAAAUGAGUUGUCCAGCACUAAGGGUGAUAUGCCUAUAAAUAGAGGUCCUUGGGCAACAAAUGAAUGAUGGAAUUUUUGGGAGAGUAUGAACCUUAGCUUAGAGAGUAAGAUUAGGGUUUUCCUUUAUGUGUAAUCUUGUAAUCGAGAGUUCUCAUUCUAUAAAUCAAUAAAAGUUCUUUAAUCAAAUUGGUA